rnacentral:lncRNA from 1 species
CGGAUUGUAUCAUUUUUCGGUACUCCCAUAGAUUCGACCCUUUUCCGGUACUCGUGGGGACAACUUUUGGUUACUCGCACGGAUUCUACCUUGUACCUAUACUCGCCCGGAUUCUACCAUUUUUUAGUACUCGCAAAUAUUCGACCCUUUUUCGGUACUCGUGGGAACAACUUUUGGUUACUCGCACGGAUUCUACCUUUUCCCGGUACACGCCCGGAUUCUAUCAUUUUACGGUACUCCCACAGAUUCGACCCUUUUCCGGUACUCGUGAGAACAACUGUUGGUUACUCGCACGGAUUGUACCUUUUCCCGGUACACGCACGAGUUGUAUCAUUUUUCGGUACUCCCAUAGAUUCGACCCUUUUCCGGUACUCGUGGGGACAACUUUUGGUUACUCGCACGGAUUCUACCGUGUACCUAUACUCGCCCGGAUUCUACCAUUUUUCAGUACUCCCACAGAUUCGACCCUUUUCCGGUACUCGUUGGGAAAGUUUUCUCACACUCGCACGGAUUCUACCUUUUCCCCGUACUCGCCCGGAUUCUACCAUUUUUCGGUACUCUCAUAGAUUCGACCCUUUUUCGGUACUCGUGGAAACAGUUUUUGGAUACUUGCACGGAUUCUACCAUUUUCAGGUACACGCCCGGAUUCUAUCAUUUGUCGGUACUCCCACAGAAUCGACCCUUUUUCGGUACUCGUGCGAACAACUUUUGGUUACUCGCACGGAUUCUACCUUUUCCCGGUACUCGCCCGGAUUCUACCGUUUUUCGGUAUUCUUAUAGAUUUGACCAUUUUUCGGUACUCGUGGGAACAGUUUUUGGAUACUCGCACGGAUUCCACCUUUUGCCCGUACUCGCCCGUAUUCUACCGUUUUCGGUACACCCAUAGAUUCGACCCUUUUUCGGUACUCGUCGAGAAUGUUUUUUCACACUCGCACGGAUUCUACCUUUUCCCGGUAUAAGCCCGGAUCCUACCACUUUUCGGUACUCUCAUAGAUUCGACCCUUUUCCGAUACUCGUGGAAACAACUUUUGGAUACUCGCACGGAUUCUACCUUUUCCCGAUACACGACCAGAUUCUAUCAUUUUUCGGUACUCCCACAGAUUCGACCCUUUUCCGGUACUCGUGGGGACAACUUUUGGUAACUCGCACGGAAUCUACCUUUCCCGGUACUCUCCCGGAUUCUACCAUUUUUCGGUACUCCCACAGAUUCGACCCUUUUCCGGUACUCGUGGGAACUGUUUUUGGAUUCUCGCACGGAUUCAACCUUUUCCCGGUACACGUCCCGAUUCUAUCAUUUUUCUGUACUCCCACAGAUUCGACACUUUUUCGGUACUAGUGGGGAUAGCUUUUGGUUACUCGCACGGAUUCUACCUUUUCCCGGUACUCACCCGGAUUCUACCGUUUUAAGGUACUCUCAUAGAUUCGACCCUUUUCCGGUACUCGUGGGAACAGUUUUUGGAUACUCGCACGGUUUCUACCUUUUCCCGGUGCACGCCUAGAUUCUACCAUUUUUCUGGACUCCCACAGAUUCGACCCUUUUUCGGUACUGGUGGGGACAGCUUUUGGUUACUCGCACGGAUUCUACCUUUUACCUGUAGUCGCCCGGAUUCUACCAUUUUUCGGUAUUCCCACAAAUUCGACCCUUUUCCGGUACUAGUGCAGACAGUUUUAUGUUACUCGCACAGAUUCUACCUUUUCCCGGUACAUGCCCAGAUUCCAUCAUUUUUCGGUACUCCUAGAGAUUUGACCCUUUUCCGGUACUCGUGGGGACAACUUUUGAUUACACGCACGGAUUCUACCUUUUACUUGUACUCGCCCGGAUUCUACCAUUUUUCGGUACGCCCACAGAUUCGACCCUUUUUCGGUACUCGUUGGGAAAGUUUUUUCACACUCGCACGGAUUCUACCUUUUCCCCGUACUCGCCCGGAUUCUACCAUUUUUCGGUACUCU